AUCUCCUUAAUCGGAGAGUUCCCUUCGGGGACAUUGGUGACAGGUGGUGCAUGGUUGUCGUCAGCUCGUGUCGUGGGAUGUUGGGUUAAGUCCCGCAACGAGCGCAACCCUUGUCUUUAGUUGCCAUCAUUAAGUUGGGCACUCUAGAGAGACUGCCAGGGAUAACCUGGAGGAAGGUGGGGAUGACGUCAAAUCAUCAUGC
rnacentral:rRNA from 1 species